rnacentral:rRNA from 1 species
CAGCCGCCGCGGGAAUACGUAGGUGGCAAGCGUUGUCCGGAAUUAUUGGGCGUAAAGGGCUCGCAGGCGGUUUCUUAAGUCUGAUGUGAAAGCCCCCGGCUCAACCGGGGAGGGUCAUUGGAAACUGGGAAACUUGAGUGCAGAAGAGGAGAGUGGAAUUCCACGUGUAGCGGUGAAAUGCGUAGAGAUGUGGAGGAACACCAGUGGCGAAGGCGACUCUCUGGUCUGUAACUGACGCUGAGGAGCGAAAGCGUGGGGAGCGAACAGGAUUAGAUACCCCUGUAGUCCCUGUCUCUUAUAU